CUGCUGCGCGCUGCAUCCUCACCAGUACUAGAAGCUAGUAAAGCCAUGGCUCCCACUGUUAUGGCCUCCUCGGCCACCUCCGUGGCUCCUUUCCAGGGCCUCAAGUCCACCGCUGGAGUACUCCCCGUGAGCCGCCGCUCCAGCAGGUCCGGAUUCGGCAAGUACGUCAGCAACGGCGGAAGGAUCAGGUGCAUGCAGGUAACAAUCUACUAGCUGGAAUUGGAUUCUUGGUGGUGUUCAAAACUGAGCUGAACGCAACUCAAUAAGAGGUCUAGCUAGGAAACUGAUGGUAUUGGUGCGUCGUUGUUCAGGUGUGGCCGACUGAGAACAACAAGAAGUUCGAGACCCUGUCGUACCUGCCGCCUCUCUCCACGGAGGACCUCUUGAAGCAGAUCGACUACCUGAUCCGGAACAACUGGGUCCCCUGCCUCGAGUUCAGCAAGGUCGGCUUCGUCUUCCGUGAGAACGCCACUUCUCCCGGGUACUACGAUGGCCGCUACUG
rnacentral:lncRNA from 1 species